UACGUAUGGGGCAAGCGUUAUCCGGAAUUACUAGGCGUAAAGGGCAGGCAGGCGGAUCCAUAAGUUUAUCGUUUAAGGCGUCGGCUUAACCGGCGUAGGGCGGUAGAUACUGUGGAUCUGGAAUGCGGUUGGGGAAGACAGAAUUCCUGGUGUAGCGGUGGAAUGCGCAGAGAUCAGGAGGAAUACCGAAGGCGAAGGCAGUCUUCCAAGCCGUUAUUGACGCUCAACUGCGAAGGUGUGGGUAUCAAACAGGAUUAGAUACCCUGGUAGUCCCU
rnacentral:rRNA from 1 species